rnacentral:rRNA from 2 species
GUGAGAAGUCCGGCUUGCUCGACUGAAGCCCGGACGUCCAGGAUGCGAGUGCCCAGUGGGCCACUUUUGGUAAGCAGAACUGGCGCUGUGGGAUGAACCAAACGCUGGGUUAAGGCGCCCGAUGCCAGACGCUCAUCAGAUCCCAUGAAAGGUGUUGGUUGCUAUAGACAGCAGGACGGUGGCCAUGGAAGUCGGAAUCCGCUAAGGAGUGUGUAACAACUCACCUGCCGAAGCAACUAGCCCUGAAAAUGGAUGGCGCUGUAGCGUCGAGCCCAUACCCGGCCGCCCCGGCUGGGCACGGAAGCUUAGGCCGGGGUGAGUAGGAGGUGUCGCAGCGGCGUGCGUUGAAGGUGCCGGGCGUGGGCCCGCCUGGAGCCGCCGCUGGUGCAGAUCUUGGUGGUAGUAGCAAAUACUCAAGUGAGAACCUUGAGGACUGAGGUGGAGAAGGGUUCCAUGUGAACAGCAGUUGAACAUGGGUCAGUCGGUCCUAAGGGAUAGGAGAAAUCCGUUCCGAAGCGGGACCUGCGUGCACCGUGAGGUCCCGUGGUCGACCGAAAGGGAAUCGGGUUAAUAUUCCCGAACUCGGACGCGGAGAUCGGCCCCUCGGGGUCAACUGCGGUAACGCAACCAAACUCGGAGACGUCGAUCGGGGUCCCGGGAAGAGUUGUCUUUUCUUUGUAAGGGAUCGGCUCCCUGGAAUCGGCUCGCCCGGAGAUAGGGAUGCUGUUCCCGUAAAGCACCGCGGCUCUUGCGGUGUCCGGAGCGCUCCGGUCGGCCCUUGAAAAUCCGAGGGAGAGUGUGAUUUUCGUGCCGGACCGUACCCAUAUCCGCAGCAGGUCUCCAAGGUGAACAGCCUCUAGUCGAUGGAACA